rnacentral:rRNA from 1 species
GCUUAUUAACAUUUCAGAUUGAAUAUACCCGAUCUCGUCUGAUCUCGGAAGUCAAGCAAUCUCGGGCUUGGUUAGUACUAGGAUGGGUGACCGCUUGGGAAUACCAAGUGUGAUAAGCA